AUGGACAGAGACCAGAGAGAUGAAGAGGCAGUUUCCCAAGGUGAACUAAAAAGCUUUGCUCUUGAUUCUUCCAAUGCACCCAAGGCACUUGUCAAUCUAACACACAGUGUGGAGCACCGUUAUGUACAGCCACCAAGGAGCCUCUGGAAAUUCCAUGAGUUCUGUUUGCUGAAGGGCCCCGAGCGCUCAAUAAAGCUGAGUUUGCAGAAGCACCAAGGGAAUUCUGUGUCCCUGGCCACACACCCAGGAACAGGCACCACUGCCUCAUUUCUGGAGACAUGUAUGUAUAUAUUCUUUUUAAUGAGAAAUCUGUUGAGAUUUUCGAGAAAAUAAAAAGCUUAUUUCUGUUCAUUCUGGGCAAACGUCUACUAACCUGAUUUUUGCCAAAGACAACAAUGGAGACUUCAGUCUCUGUCACAAGACAGUCAUUGUCAAUUGGAGGACAAGGACAUGGUGAAAGAGGAGGGACAGGAUCCACAGGUGGGAAGAACCAGGCUCCUGUGAGGUAGCAGGAACUUUACAGAUUUUCUCCUCAAGGCAACCAGGGAGGCGGCGAAAAGCAUCCCCAUUUCACAAACGAGGAUAUAGAAACUCAGAUAAUUUGAAUAAUUUGCCCAAGAUCACAGAGGUGGGAGAUAGCAGAAGUGGGUUCUACAAGUCUGUACACAGGGCAGGCUCCUAAUUAACAUCUGCGGGUUCGAAAUUCCAUGUGCAGAAUUAGCAGGGAGAAGAGAAGCCCUUCCCUGAUUAAUUUGAGAGAGUGAUUAAUGAGGGAUGUAAAAAUUGAUAAAUAGAAUAUGCCAUCAGAUUUGGAAAGUGCUUUUCUACCUUACACAACCUUCUGCGGCUCUUGUCUCAUAAGAUAGAAGGAACAAAUGAAGUAUGGAUUUUUCAGGCAAGGAAGCUGCAGCUUGACAGGAUCAUUUAAUGAAUUAGCAACAGACUGGGGAGAAACCCCAGUUCCUGCAUCGAAGUCAGUGGCCCAGCGCUGUCUUUGUGCUUCUCAAGCGUUGACAUGUUUCAAAAUCAAUACAGAUUUCCAGAUACCACCCUAAAUCCACUGUAUCACCGUCUCUGGAAAUGGGCCACAGGAUCUGUAUUUUAAGCAAACCCCCCAGGUGACUUUUUCUGACACCAAAAUUUGUGAACCUAUGUCUUCUUUUCUUUCUUUUUUUUUUUUUUUUGGUUACUUACACUUUGUGAGUUGGAAGACCUGGUUUCUCCCUACCCUCUGGUCUAUGAGUGUCUUCUCAUCUAAAAAUCUGUUUUAGAAGGGAGACAAGAAAAUACCCCUCAUUCUCUCUCAUUUUUAAUAAGCCUCAUAGUUCUUGUGCGUCUAACUAUAGCUUUUCUUUAUUCAGUUUUUUUUUAUUAGGAAUAAAGCACAUAUG
rnacentral:lncRNA from 1 species